rnacentral:rRNA from 1 species
AUCUACGGUCAUGUCACCCUGAAUAAGCCUGAUCCCAUCUGAUCUCGGAAGCUAAGCAGGGUUAGGCUUAGUUAGUACUUGGAUGGGAGACCACCUAGGCAGACCAGGUGUUGUAGGCA